GACGAACGCUGGCGGCGUGCUUAACACAUGCAAGUCGAACGGAAAGGCCCUGCUUUUGUGGGGUGCUCGAGUGGCGAACGGGUGAGUAACACGUGAGUAACCUGCCCUUGACUUUGGGAUAACUUCAGGAAACUGGGGCUAAUACCGGAUAGGAGCUCCUGCUGCAUGGUGGGGGUUGGAAAGUUUCGGCGGUUGGGGAUGGACUCGCGGCUUAUCAGCUUGUUGGUGGGGUAGUGGCUUACCAAGGCCUUGACGGGUAGCCGGCCUGAGAGGGUGACCGGCCACAUUGGGACUGAGAUACGGCCCAGACUCCUACGGGGGGCAGCAGUGGGGAAUAUUGCACGAUGGGCGGAAGCCUGAUGCAGCAACGCCGCGUGCGGGAUGACGGCCGUCGGGUUGUAAACCGCUUGCGCCUGUGACGAAGCGUGAGUGACGGUAAUGGGUAAAGAAGCACCGGCUAACUACGUG
rnacentral:rRNA from 1 species